GAUGAACGCUGGCGGCGUGCCUAAUACAUGCAAGUCGAGCGAACAGACGAGGAGCUUGCUCCUCUGACGUUAGCGGCGGACGGGUGAGUAACACGUGGAUAACCUACCUAUAAGACUGGGAUAACUUCGGGAAACCGGAGCUAAUACCGGAUAAUAUAUUGAACCGCAUGGUUCAAUAGUGAAAGACGGUUUUGCUGUCACUUAUAGAUGGAUCCGCGCCGCAUUAGCUAGUUGGUAAGGUAACGGCUUACCAAGGCAACGAUGCGUAGCCGACCUGAGAGGGUGAUCGGCCACACUGGAACUGAGACACGGACCAGACUCCUACGGGAGGCAGCAGUAGGGAAUCUUCCGCAAUGGGCGAAAGCCUGACGGAGCAACGCCGCGUGAGUGAUGAAGGACUUCGGAUCGUAAAACUCUGUUAUUAGGGAAGAACAAAUGUGUAAGUAACUAUGCACGUCUUGACGGUACCUAAUCAGAAAGCCACGGCUAACUACGUG
rnacentral:rRNA from 1 species